rnacentral:rRNA from 1 species
GUGUCAGCCGCCGCGGUAAUACGAAAGGGGCUAGCGUUGUUCGGAAUUACUGGGCGUAAAGCGCGCGUAGGCGGCCUUGUAAGUUGGGGGUGAAAUCCCGGGGCUCAACCCCGGAACUGCCUUCAAAACUGCAAAGCUAGAGGAUGCGAGAGGUGAGCGGAAUUCCGAGUGUAGAGGUGAAAUUCGUAGAUAUUCGGAAGAACACCAGUGGCGAAGGCGGCUCACUGGCGCAUUUCUGACGCCGAGGCGCGAAAGCGUGGGGAGCAAACAGGAUUAGAUACCCUGGUAGUCCACGCCGUAAACGAUGGAUGCUAGCCGUUGGACAGCAUGCUGUUCAGUGGCGCAGCUAACGCAUUAAGCAUCCCGCCUGGGGAGUACGGCCGCAAGGUUAAAACUCAAAGGAAUUGACGGGG